rnacentral:rRNA from 1 species
AGAGUUUGAUCCUGGCUCAGGACGAACGCUGGCGGCGUGCCUAAUACAUGCAAGUCGAGCGCAGGAAGCAGACUGAAUCCUUCGGGAGGACGUCUGUGGAAUGAGCGGCGGAUGGGUGAGUAACACGUGGGCAACCUGCCUGUAAGCUUGGGAUAACUCCGGGAAACCGGUGCUAAUACCGAAUGAUUCUCUUGUUCGCAUGAACAAGAGGUGAAAGGCGGCUUUUGCUGUCACUUACAGAUGGGCCCGCGUCGCAUUAGCUAGUUGGUGGGGUAAUGGCUCACCAAAGCAACGAUGCGUAGCCGACCUGAGAGGGUGAUCGGCCACACUGGGACUGAGACACGGCCCAGACUCCUACGGGAGGCAGCAGUAGGGAAUCUUCCGCAAUGGACGAAAGUCUGACGGAGCGACGCCGCGUGAGUGAUGAAGGUCUUAGGAUCGUAAAACUCUGUUGUUAGGGAAGAACAAGUAUCGAUCUAAUACAUCGGUACCUUGACGGUACCUAACCAGAAAGCCCCGGCUAACUACGUGCCAGCAGCCGCGGUAAUACGUAGGGGGCGAGCGUUGUCCGGAAUUAUUGGGCGUAAAGGGCUCGCAGGCGGUCUUCUAAGUCUGAUGUGAAAUCUCGUAGCUUAACUACGAGCGGUCAUUGGAAACUGGGAGACUUGAGGACAGAAGAGGAGAGUGGAAUUCCACGUGUAGCGGUGAAAUGCGUAGAGAUGUGGAGGAACACCAGUGGCGAAGGCGACUCUCUGGUCUGUCACUGACGCUGAGGAGCGAAAGCGUGGGGAGCGAACAGGAUUAGAUACCCUGGUAGUCCACGCCGUAAACGAUGAGUGCUAGGUGUUAGGGGGUUUCCGCCCCUUAGUGCUGCAGUUAACGCAUUAAGCACUCCGCCUGGGGAGUACGGCCGCAAGGCUGAAACUCAAAAGAAUUGACGGGGGCCCGCACAAGCGGUGGAGCAUGUGGUUUAAUUCGAAGCUACGCGAAGAACCUUACCAGGUCUUGACAUCCCUUUGACCUCCCUAGAGAUAGGGCUUUCCCUUCGGGGA